AAAUUGAAGAGUUUGAUCAUGGCUCAGAUUGAACGCUGGCGGCAGGCCUAACACAUGCAAGUCGAACGGUAACAGGAAACAGCUUGCUGUUUCGCUGACGAGUGGCGGACGGGUGAGUAAUGUCUGGGAAACUGCCUGAUGGAGGGGGAUAACUACUGGAAACGGUAGCUAAUACCGCAUAACGUCGCAAGACCAAAGAGGGGGACCUUCGGGCCUCUUGCCAUCGGAUGUGCCCAGAUGGGAUUAGCUA
rnacentral:rRNA from 1 species